AUGCUCUCCAAAGCGGCUCGAUGUGGACACAUUAUUCCUGUGGUCUCUCACCUACUUCCGGAAGGGGUCUCUCAUUUGCAAUAUGCGGAUGACACAAUCAUCUUGGUAGAGUUGGACAAUGCCUGUAUUGCCAAUCUGAAAUUUAUUAUGUUGUGCUUCGAAGCUGUUUCUGGUCUUAAGAUCAAUUUCGCCAAGAGUGAGGUUAUGGUGACGGGGGUUGAUCGGGCGGAGGCCUUGCAGGUGGCCAGACUCCUCAAUUGCUCCUUAGGUUCCUUUCCUUUCAAAUAUUUAGGUCUUCCUAUCUCUCCUGGUCUGCUUCACGCGAAAGACUUCGCUCCGGUGGUUGCUAAAGUGGGGAAUAGGGUGCUUCCUUGGAGGGGUAGGUAUAAUACCAAUGCUGGCAAAGUGGCUCUAAUCAAUUCUUGCUUAUCCUCUCUCCCGUUGUUCCUUAUGGGCUUUUACCGUCUCACGGAUGGUGUGCAUGCUGGCUUCGACAAACAUAGGGGUGGCUUUUAUUGGAAUUCUGCAGAUAACAAAAGGAAGUAUAGGUUGGUUAAGUGGCAGCUUAUGUGCAAGCCUAAAAACCUUGGGGGGUUAGGCAUUAUUAAUACUCGGGUGAUGAAUAUUUGUCUGCUCAUUAAGUGGUGGUGGAAAAUU
rnacentral:rRNA from 1 species